ACCAGUGUAGCAUAAUGGUUUGAGCAUUAGACUGGGAAUCUAGGAAGCCAGGGUUUGAAUCCCAGCUCAACCAUGGUA